rnacentral:rRNA from 1 species
GAUGAACGCUAGCGGGAGGCUUAACACAUGCAAGUCGAGGGGCAGCAUAGAGUAGCAAUACUUUGAUGGCGACCGGCGCACGGGUGAGUAACGCGUAUGUAACCUACCCUGUACAGGGGGAUAGCCCGGAGAAAUUCGGAUUAAUACCCCAUAAUGAUAUCGAGAGGCAUCUUUUGAUAUUUAAAGCUUCGGCGGUACGGGAUGGGCAUGCGCGACAUUAGCUAGUUGGUAAGGUAACGGCUUACCAAGGCUGCGAUGUCUAGGGGUCCUGAGAGGGUGAUCCCCCACACGGGUACUGAGAAACGGACCAGUCUCCUACGGGAGGCAGCAGUGAGGAAUAUUGGUCAAUGGGCGUAAGCCUGAACCAGCCAUCCCGCGUGAAGGAAGAAGGCGCUAUGCGUCGUAAACUUCUUUUCCAGAGGAAUAAAAUUUUGUACGCGUACAGAACUGAAGGUACUCUGGGAAUAAGCAUCGGCUAACUCCGUGCCAGCCGCCGCAGUAAUAC